AGUGAAUAUGUUCAUAUUACGUUUUUAUUGUGUAACGGGUAGAUCAAGCGUACUACAUGUCCCAAGAUCCCUGCCUAUGCUCCGCCUUCACCUGGCUGCGAGGCUUACCUGACGUAGGGCAUUCGUCUUUUUAAAUUAAUGACCCCGCGAAAGCUCACCUGUGCUGUCUUGCUGGGAGAAUUGUUUGGUGUCUGCUUUCUCGUUGCUGUCCCUCCGAACUCAUCCUUUGUGUCGUUUCAGUCAACGCGUCUUUGCUCAACCGUGUGUUUUUGCAACUAGCGACUGCAGUUGUGCCGGUAGCGCGACUCAUCUCUGUAGCCUACGGCCUGGCUGUCUUACUGUGGUGAUCCUAAGUUCCCGAACCUGGAGGUGUGCCGUUUCUCCGCACCCUCGAACGUCACCAUAAAGCGGUCAAUCACUGUUUUCCCCUGGCCACUUUGUAACAGUGCACC